rnacentral:tRNA from 1 species
GCCCGAAUGGUCUAAUGGUAUGAUUCGCGCUUUGGGUGCGUGAGGUUCUGGGUUCGAUUCCCAGUUCGGGCC